UUCGGGGUGGAUUAGUGGCGAACGGGUGAGUAACACGUGGGCAAUCUGCCCUUCACUCUGGGACAAGCCCUGGAAACGGGGUCUAAUACCGGAUAACACUCUCCUCCUCCUGGGGGUGGGUUAAAAGCUCCGGCGGUGAAGGAUGAGCCCGCGGCCUAUCAGCUUGUUGGUGGGGUAAUGGCCUACCAAGGCGACGACGGGUAGCCGGCCUGAGAGGGCGACCGGCCACACUGGGACUGAGACACGGCCCAGACUCCUACGGGAGGCAGCAGUGGGGAAUAUUGCACAAUGGGCGAAAGCCUGAUGCAGCGACGCCGCGUGAGGGAUGACGGCCUUCGGGUUGUAAACCUCUUUCAGCAGGGAAGAAGCGCAAGUGACGGUACCUGCAGAAGAAGCACCGGCUAACUACGUGCCAGCAGCCGCGGUAAUACGUAGGGUGCGAGCGUUGUCCGGAAUUAUUGGGCGUAAAGAGCUCGUAGGCGGUCUGUCACGUCGGAUGUGAAAGCCCGGGGCUUAACCCCGGGUCUGCAUUCGAUACGGGCAGACUAGAGUGUGGUAGGGGAGAUCGGAAUUCCUGGUGUAGCGGUG
rnacentral:rRNA from 2 species